GAAAUGCGAUAAGUAGUGUGAAUUGCAGAAUUCAGUGAAUCAUCGAAUCUUUGAACGCACCUUGCGCUCCUUGGUAUUCCUUGGAGCAUGCCUGUUUGAGUAUCAUGAAAUCUUCAAAGUAAAUCUUUUGUUAACUCAAUUGGUUUCUACUUUGGUAUUGGAGGUCUUUGAGCUUCACACCUGCUCCUCUUUGUUCAUUAGCUGGAUCUCAGUGUUAUGCUUGGUUCCACUCGGCGUGAUAAGUUAUCUAUCGCUGAGGACACUGUAAAAGGUGGCCAAGGUAAAUGCAGAUGAACCGCUUCUAAUAGUCCAUUGACUUGGACAAUACUUUUAUGAUCUGAUCUCAAAACAGGUAGGACUACCCGCUGAACUUAAGC
rnacentral:misc_RNA from 1 species